rnacentral:rRNA from 1 species
GGAUUAGAUACCCUGGUAGUCCACGCCGUAAACGAUGAGUGCUAGCUGUCAGGGCUUUAGCUUUGGUGGCGCAGUUAACGCAUUAAGCACUCCGCCUGGGGAGUACGGUCGCAAGAUUAAAACUCAAAGGAAUUGACGGGGACCCGCACAAGCGGUGGAGCAUGUGGUUUAAUUCGAGGCAACGCGAAGAACCUUACCAGCCCUUGCAUCUUGGUCGCGGAUCGUGGAGACACUUUCCUUCAGUUUGGCUGGACCAAUGACAGGUGGUGCACGGCUGUCGUCAGCUCGUGCCG